GAGCGGAGGGAACCGGGUUAGGGGCGCGCUUCUUCUUCCUGGGCGGCGGCUGCUGGUGCUGCUGCUGCUGGUGUCGCCGUCGCCGCUACUGUUGCCCAGCCCAGCCCAGCCCAGCGCUUCUGGAUCUAUCGCCUAACACGUGGGGCUCUCUUUUUUUUUUUUUUGCACGGCGGAAACUUUCGAGGGAUACUUGCUGCUAACUUAGACACACGCGCUCGGUGACAGCGGCGUGGGACUCUCGCCGUGGCUUUACGGGUGGUGGAAUCGCAGCUCCACACGCGGAUCCAGGCGCUCUUUUUCGGCCAGGGGUGUUUUGUGUGUGUGUGUGUGUGUUUGUGUGUGUUCGUGCCUCUCUUGCCUUCUCCUGCGGUUGGAAUUCCGCCCUUCGUUGCUGACUUUCCGGGGCUCCCGCCGGUCACCCCCCCGCCGCCGCUCCCUUUUUCCUUAAAGCAGUGGAAAAAAAAAUGUGGCCGGCGAGCCUUUUCCACGAAGCCGCUCUAGUUUUCCCGAGGGGCGGGAGCCUGCCCCCCCCCCCCCCCCCGUACCUCCUCGUUUUUGUGCCGUCCAGUCUAACUCAUGAAGAUCUUGGCCAGGACGAGCAAGUUCAAUCCACAGGAACGCGCCAGGGUUGCUGCCUGUCGUCCCCCCCGCCUUGACAGAAGGGCUCUGCUUCCAAGAAGCAUUUCUUGAGUGACAACUAUACAGAACAUUGCAACUUGUGUCCCUGCUGCAAAGUUUCAAUUGUGCAAGGGCAAUCUUUUAUACUAAAUUUCUCAACUGCUUUCAAGACUUGAUGCUAUUCC